AGCUCUGCCAGUUUGGUGAACUCUCUCUCUCUGGUUAGUGUGUUCCUAAGAUCUCAGAGCAGUGACUUGCAAUCUGGCUCCAUAGCAGAGUUGCCAGGGGAGCUUAUAAAGCAUUACAAACAUUCACAUCUCACCACUCACACCUGAGGCAAAACUGCUGUGGCGGUGACCAUCCCUGUGGGCAACUCCAAAGGGAUGAACACUGGAUGUCCUAGCUCUUGCACUUCUUCGGUAUAAUUUCAGAUCAACUCAGAAGCCCAGCCUAAGCCAAUCAGCAUACAGCACUGCUUUGGCCAUAGAGACCCACGUGACCCAGCCACAGGAGAGGGAGGGACCACACUCUUAGAAGAAAAUCAGCAGAAAUGAUGUUUUUUCUCUUUAGACAUAGUGAUAGUCAAAGGCAAAACCUUUGCGUCUGCAUAAGAAGCCAGUGUGGGGAGGAAGCUGGCCCGCAGGUGGGCACAGCUAAGGAAAACGGAAUGGAGACAACACCACUAUAUUAAAUCAGGCCAGAAGCCUUCCCUAGAUCCAGAUGUCUGGUUAUAGAAGCCACUAAAUUCCCUCCUUGCAUGAGUCACUUGAAUUGGAUUUUCUGUUAUUUAUAGCAUAAAUCAUUGUAACUGCUGUACGCUGUGACAUCCUUCAUUACUGUAAUAGAGAAAUAGGAAGAUUUCUAACAUCUGUACUUUCUGACCCUUGGCAUACAACUAUCACUGGUUUUGAGGAAAGUCCUUAAAAAUAUCCCCUCUCAUUUUUCCUACAGGAAUUAGUUUCUACCUAAUACUUAUUAAAACUUUCAAACAAUCAGAAAAGUUGGACUUUUAAACCUAAUAGCUAUUGACCUAACAAUUAUUGACAUUUUCCACAUAUUUGGGUCAUCUAUUUUAUAUCUACAUCUAUCUACCUACCUAUGUUUCACUGAAUUAUUUUAAAGUGAGCUUCAAUAUUUUUAGACUUUAAUUUGCUUUAUCUAUUUUUAUAUCUGUAUCUAUCUGCUUACCUAUAUUUCAUUGAAUUAUUUGAAAGUGAAUUUCAGUAUUUUGCCACUUCAUUCUUAAAUACUUCAACUCUGGUGUAUGCUUUCUAAGAACCAUUAACACACUAUGAAAAUUUAUACUUCCUUAAUAUCAUCAAAUAUUCAAACUAUAUAUACAUUUUCCUUAUCUGUCUCUAAAAUUGUCUUUUGUAGCUUCCUUUUUUCAGUCCAGGAUCUAGUAAAAGUUUAUUCAUUGGAUUUGUACAUUUACCUCUUACAACUUGUUUUCAUAUUUAUUGCCCUCAUUUUUAAAAUCAUACUUUGAAUCUGUAAUAAUAAAUAAAUUGUUGUGGAAAAUUUCCUUGGUCUUCCCUUUCCUGACAUAAUAUUCAGCUGAAUUGGUUAGAUUCUUCAUUGUAUAGUGGUUUCUUCAUUUCUUUCUUGCAU
rnacentral:lncRNA from 1 species